AUCUUGUUGGAGAUCCCUGUGCACCUGGGGCUUUCUAAAGGCAGAAUUGCAAGGAAAUCCUUGAGAUCUGCAAGAUGCAAGUAGCAGGAUUGGCCUUGAAUUGAAUCCAGUUUCUUGAGACAUUUGAAGCAAUAGGGAGGCUGUUAAAUGUGAGCGUGUAUCGGACUAAGCAAGCAAAUCUGCAAGAAUAAUUGGUCCUGGUUUAAAUCAUAUUCUGUGAAAGAACCAUUUUAGAAGGCACUGAUGGAAGACUGCAAAAGCUGUUCUAUUUCAAUGUCCAAUACGUCUCAGACAAGACCAGGCACGAAUUCCAAGAAGCAUGGGCUCUGUUUGUGUGGUGUAACCACCCCGAUGCAAUUUUGUAGAAUACUAAAAAUCAAAGGGCAGAACUGUGCUCAUUAGUGCCUGAAUUCAUGCAGAAUGUACCAGUGUUAACCUUUAACUGGGUUCCAGUGCUCUUAACAUUACCUUUCCUAUGGAACAAUUAAAGCUGAGAGCAGCAGCUAGGAUAUGG
ensembl:lncRNA